rfam:Myotis lucifugus cont2.20603, whole genome shotgun sequence.
AUGAAGCUUUUAAUGGAAAAGAGGAAUUUAGAGAGCAGGCUAUCUCAGAAUAAGCAUUCACCUACAGAUUUGGUACCUGGUUUUCUGUCCAUGGUGAUUUCUAUCACCUUACUACUGAAGAAGAUACCAUCCCAGUGGACCACUGUGACCCAAGGGACAUUCAACCAUCAUGAUGUGGUCUUCACCUCCACUCCUGUCUUUUUCUACCCAGAUGGAGCACCACCCUUUA